CGGCGUGGCUAAGCAUGCAGUCGUACGCGAAAGUUCCUUCGAGGAACGAGUAGAGUGGCGAAAGGGCGAGGAAUACAUGGGUAACAUACCCCCGGCACAGGGAUAGCCGCGGGAGACCGCGGGUAAUACCUGAUAUGACCACGGCAUCUUAUGAUGCAGCGGUAAAAGGGUGGGGACCUUCGGGCCUACCGGCCAGGGAGUGGCCCAUGUCCUAUCAGCUUGUUGGUGAGGUAACGGCUCACCAAGGCGACGACGGGUACCGGGGCUGAGAGGCUGAUCCGGCGCAUUGGGACUGAGACACUGCCCAGACUCCUACGGGAGGCUGCAGCGACGAAUAUUGCACAAUGGGCGCAAGCCUGAUGCAGCGACGCCGCGUGUGGGAGGAAGCCCCUCGGGGUGUAAACCACUGUCAGGGACCACCAAGCGACCCGGGCGAAUAGUCCGGGAAGUUGAGGAAUCCCAGAGGAAGUCACGGCUAACUUCGUGCCAGCAGCCGCGGUAAGACGAAGGUGGCAAGCGUUGUUCGGAAUCACUGGGCUUACAGAGCACGUAGGCGGAUUGUCAAGCACUUUGUGAAAUCCCUCGGCUUAACCGAGGAAUUGCUUGGUGAACUGGCAGUCUUGAGGCAGGUAGAGGCACACGGAACUCUUGGUGGAGCGGUGGAAUGCGUAGAUAUCAAGAGGAACGCCAGAGGCGAAAGCGGUGUGCUGGGCCUGACCUGACGCUGAGGUGCGAAAG
rnacentral:rRNA from 1 species